UGCGUAGGGUCCGAGCGUUGUCCGGAAUUACUGGGCGUAAAGAGCUCGUAGGUGGUUUGUCGCGUUGUCCGUGAAAACUCACAGCUCAACUGUGGGCGUGCGGGCGAUACGGGCAGACUGGAGUACUGCAGGGGAGACUGGAAUUCCUGGUGUAGCGGUGAAAUGCGCAGAUAUCAGGAGGAACACCGGUGGCGAAGGCGGUUCUCUGGGCAUUACCUGACGCUGAGGAGCGAAAGUGUGGGGAGCGAACAGG
rnacentral:rRNA from 1 species